rnacentral:rRNA from 1 species
AAGGGAUAGUAAUGCGUGGAUACCUGCCCCUGGGACGGGGAUAGCUGCUGGAAACGGCAAUUAAUACCCGAUGACGUCUCCGGACCAAAGGUGUGAUUCCGCCCGGGGAGGGGUUCACGUCCUAUUAGCUAGUUGGCGAGGUAACGGCUCACCAAGGCCACGAUGGGUAGCGGGUGUGAGAGCACGACCCGCAUCACUGGGACUGAGACACUGCCCAGACACCUACGGGUGGCUGCAGUCGAGGAUCUUCGGCAAUGGGCGAAAGCCUGACCGAGCGACGCCGCGUGCGGGAUGAAGGCCUUCGGGUUGUAAACCGCUUUCGGAGGGGAGGAAAUCGAGGUGGGAUCACCCAUCUCGUUGACCUAUCCUCGGAAGAAGGACGGGCUAAGUUCGUGCCAGCAGCCGCGGUAAUACGAACCGUCCAAACGUUAUUCGGAAUUACUGGGCUUAAAGGGUGCGUAGGCGGCCCGGUAAGUUGGGUGUGAAAUCCCUCGGCUCAACCGAGGAAUUGCGCCCAAAACUGUCGGGCUUGAGGGAGAUAGAGGUGAGCGGAACUUAGGGUGGAGCGGUGAAAUGCGUUGA